ACUAAGCCAUGCGAGUCGAGAGGUUCAAGACCUCGGCGUACUGCUCAGUAACACGUGGACAAUCUGCCCUGAAGUGGAGGAUAAUCCCGGGAAACUGGGGGUAAUACUCCAUAGUUCGUGCUGACUGGAAUGUUAUGCGAACGAAAGAUCCGUCGCUUCAGGAUGAGUCUGCGGCCGAUUAGGUAGUUGUUGGGGUAACGGCCCAACAAGCCUGUCAUCGGUACGGGUUGUGGGAGCAAGAGCCCGGAGAUGGAUUCUGAGACACGAAUCCAGGCCCUACGGGGCGCAGCAGGCGCGAAAACUUUACCAUGCGGGCAACCGUGAUAAGGAAGCCCCGAGUGCCAGCACAGGCUGGCUGUCCGCCAGUGUAAAUAACUGGUGAAGAAAGGGCCGGGCAAGACCGGUGCCAGCCGCCGCGGUAAUACCGGCGGCUCGAGUGGUGGCCGCUAUUACUGGGCUUAAAGGGUCCGUAGCUGGAUGUACAAGUCCCUUGAGAAAUCCG
rnacentral:rRNA from 1 species